rnacentral:rRNA from 1 species
UAGGGAAUCUUGCGCAAUGGGCGAAAGCCUGACGCAGCCAUGCCGCGUGAAUGAUGAAGGUCUUAGGAUUGUAAAAUUCUUUCACCGGGGACGAUAAUGACGGUACCCGGAGAAGAAGCCCCGGCUAACUUCGUGCCAGCAGCCGCGGUAAUACGAAGGGGGCUAGCGUUGCUCGGAAUUACUGGGCGUAAAGGGCGCGUAGGCGGACAGUUUAGUCAGAGGUGAAAGCCCAGGGCUCAACCUUGGAAUUGCCUUUGAUACUGGCUGUCUUGAGUGCGGGAGAGGUGUGUGGGACUCCGAGUGUAGAGGUGAAAUUCGUAGAUAUUCGGAAGAACACCAGGGCGAAGGCGACACACUGGCCCGUUACUGACGCUGAGGCGCGAAAGCGUGGGGAGCAAACAGGAUUAGAUACCCUGGUAGUCCACGCCGUAAAACGAUGAAUGCUAGUUGUCGGCAUGCAUGCAUGUCGGUGACGCAGCUAACGCAUUAAGCAUUCCGCCUGGGGAGUACGGUCGCAAGAUUAAAAACUC